AGACGCUGUGGUCUCACCUGUCCUGGCAAGGGGCCUCUGCCGGCUGUUCCCAUGACUGGCUCAGGGUCUGAGUUCUUAUUCCAUCAACCUUGAUCAAAAGAAGGAAAGGGAAGAAAAAGGCCCAGGCUCCUAUGACUUCUAGAAGUACAUCUACUUGGAGAAUACCCAGCAGGAAGAGACGUUUCAGCAGUAGUGACUUUUCAGACCUGAGUAAUGGAGAAGAGCUUCAGGAAACCUGCAGCUCAUCCCUAAGAAGAGGGUCAGGUAAAGAAGAUUAGGAUGCCAAGACUUGGCCUGCAGAAUGUCAGGAAUGUGAAUUAAAAGCUGCUGUUUCCAGACGCUUUUUAUUCUGAGCACCUUCACUACCUUGUAUCCAGUUCAUCUGGGAACUCCUUUUUGCAUUUUAGAAAAUGGAAAGAGGCAGGAAAUUAUGAUAAACUCAUGUUUAACAGAAAGAGUUUCACUGACUAAAUGUAUGUAAUUAUAUUUUGUUGUUGUAGAAGAAAUAAAUAGCAAAUUUGUGGUAUUCUUUUUUUUAAACCUGCUCUCAUUCCUAUUAACACUAAGAUCUUAGAUUUUUAUAGUGAUAAAUGGGUUGACAUCAUUGUCAUUUGUAAUUGUAAAGCCUCAAAAGACAACUGUUCCUACUAUGUAAUUAUAGACAGAAAUAAAAACUUCAGAUC
rnacentral:lncRNA from 1 species